GCGUUGACCCUCCAUGGCCGCGGUGCCCGGCCCUCCUGCUCUGACAGCCGCCGCCUUCGCCGCCGCCGCCGCCGCUUCCGCCCACGCGCGCCUUGACCUGGGCCCUCCCAACACACCGCCCCGAGUAGGGGCGCCUAAACACCAAAAAGAGUUUGACUGGCCUCUCAUCCUCUUAACCGCCCCCUGCAGCUUCCCCCGCUACGUCCGCCCCAUGCGCCAGGCCGCGAGAGGCAGGACGUGGAAGCGGAAGUGCUGGUCGGGGGCGUUCUCUCGAGUCCGGGGCGCAAGUAGCGGACGCUGCCCAUGGAGGCGUCUAGCGAGCCGCCGCUGGAUGCUAAGUCCGAGGUCACCAACCAGCUUGUAGAUUUUCAGUGGAAACUGGGUAUGGCUGUGAGCUCAGACACUUGCAGAUCUCUUAAGUAUCCUUAUGUUGCAGUGAUGCUAAAAGUGGCAGAUCAUUCAGGCCAAGUAAAGACCAAGUGCUUUGAAAUGACGAUUCCACAGUUUCAGAAUUUCUACAGACAGUUCAAGGAAAUUGCUGCAGUUAUUGAAACGGUGUGAAGACGGAUUCUUUGGUUGAUAAAUUGCUAUCAUUCUAAAGUCAUGGACUUCACUUUCUGCCACGAAACCACAUAAGGAUGGAACAUUUAUUGAAUGAAAAAUGCACUUUUGUUUUUCCAUUUUUUUUAAUAAUAAAAAUCAGAUAAACAGGAA